ensembl:lncRNA
AGAGGACAAGGCCUCCUAGGGGCCAGUGUGUACCCUGCAACUGUAACAGCCUGUCCAAUGAAUGUGACGAACAAACAGGGAGAUAUCUGAACUGUCAGUACAAUACUGAUGGGCAUCGAUGUGAGCACUACAAAGUGGGUAACUACGGCAAUGCUGCCCAGAGGACCUGUCGUGGGUGUCUUAUCCCUGAAGCUCUAUCUCUUAAUGCAUAUAGAAGAUCUCCUUCAUCACCUGAGGGAGGCGAAAUCUAGUAUAACCAACAUAAAUGUGGCAGUGGAGGAGGUGGCCAGGAUGAUGAAGGAGGUGCAGCGCAUGGUGCAGGAGAUGAGAGAACUUGGCUGCAGUAACCAGACAAGGAGGCUUCCAGGGAGCAAAAGGAGGCUCACAAACGUGAGAUCUGGGCAUUUUGGAUUAGACUAAAGUCACUUACAGUACAGGGCAGCACUUUAUUUAGCAUUCUUUUGAAUGAGACAUUCCAUACAUCAAUGUGACACAAGUUCUUGAUAGAUAUGACUCAAGGUGCAAAGGGUAAUACACGUGUCCCUCUCAGUAUUGGACUUCAUCAGGAACAAUAUGACAAUCCAUUGGAUGACAACCUGGCUGUAGCCAAUGAGGCGGCAGAGUCCCUGAUGACGUGGGGCUCUGCGUUGAUGAAUCUGGCAGAGGCUGUGGCACAAGCAGAGGAUAUGGUAAACAGGACAUGGAGCCUCAACUCCAGCAGUACUGACUUCCUAAGAGACCUGAUGGUAAUGUCAAAUACUGAAGAAUAACAUCUAUGAAAUGUUGUAGAUACAACACAAAAAAUGUCCCUCCUUUUUCCAAAUAAUUUACUAGCAAUUAAAAGAUGAGCUGGAGAGGAAACGUGAUUCAAUCCAAUCAAUAUGUCCAAAGAUAAACUGAGGAAUAUCACAAACCUUUUGGAAAUUAUGAAGGAGCACAACAAGGUAUGAAGCAGAUGAAUUCAAAUUGUUUCCAGUGGAUAUUAUUAUUUAUCUCGUAAUGAAGGAGGCAUUAAAAAUGUCAUUUAAAUCUUUCAGGAAUACGAGCACCUUGCAGCCAA